UGGAAGAGAGUUGCCCACUGA
rnacentral:siRNA from 1 species